rnacentral:rRNA from 1 species
AGAGUUUGAUCCUGGCUCAGAACGAACGCUGGCGGCGUGGCUAAGACAUGCAAGUCGAACGGACUAUUGCCUUGAGUAAUCGAGACAAUAGUUAGUGGCGAAAGGGUUAGUAAUAGAUAGGCAACGUACCCUGUGCUCCGGGACAGCGUCACUCGCCUUCGGGCGAAUUUCCGAAAGGGGCGGUAAUACCGGAUAAUAUUGUCUGUCGAUAGGCAGACAAUCAAAGAUUUAUCGGCAUUGGAGCGGCCUAUCUCCUAUCAGCUUGUUGGUGAGGUAACUGCUCACCAAGGCAAUAACGGGUAGCGGGACUGAGAGGUUGGCCCGCAACAUCGGGACUGAGACACUGCCCGGACCUCCACGGAGGGCUGCAGUAACGAAUCUUGCGCAAUGGGCGAAAGCCUGACGCAGCGACGCCGCGUGCGGGAGGAAGUCCCUCGGGAUGUAAACCGCUGUCAGGGGUAAGAAAGUUCACUUCGGUGGAUUGAUCUAACCCAAAGGAAGUCACGGCUAACUUCGUGCCAGCAGCCGCGGUAAGACGAAGGUGGCAAGCGUUGUUCGGUGUUACUGGGCUUAAAGAGUGUGUAGGCCGAAUCGUAAGCGUCACGUGAAAGCCCCCGGCUUAACCGGGGAACGGCGCGACGUACUGCUUUUCUUGAGCCAAGCAGGGGUGCACGGAACUCUUGGUGGAGCGGUGGAAUGCGUAGAUAUCAAGAGGAACGCCGGUGGAGAAAUCGGUGCACUGGGCUUGUGCUGACGCUGAGACACGAAAGCGUGGGGAGCGAACGGGAUUAGAUACCCCGGUAGUCCACGCCGUAACGAUGUCUACUAGGUUGUGGAAGUUCUGACACUUGCACGGCCGGAGCAAAGUGUUAAGUAGACCGCCUGGGAGUACGGUCGCAAGGCUA